rnacentral:rRNA from 1 species
AGCGAACGCUGGCGGCAGGCCUAACACAUGCAAGUCGAACGGACCCUUCGGGGUUAGUGGCGGACGGGUGAGUAACACGUGGGAACGUGCCUUUAGGUCGGAAUAGCUCCUGGAAACGGGUGGUAAUGCCGAAUGUGCCCUUCGGGGGAAAGAUUUAUCGCCUUUAGAGCGGCCCGCGUCUGAUUAGCUUGUUGGUGGGGUAAUGGCCCACCAAGGCUACGAUCAGUAGCUGGUCUGAGAGGAUGACCAGCCACAUUGGGACUGAGACACGGCCCAAACUCCUACGGGAGGCAGCAGUGGGGAAUCUUGCGCAAUGGGCGAAAGCCUGACGCAGCCAUGCCGCGUGUAUGAUGAAGGUCUUAGGAUUGUAAAAUACUUUCACCGGUGAAGAUAAUGACUGUAGCCGGAGAAGAAGCCCCGGCUAACUUCGUGCCAGCAGCCGCGGUAAUACGAAGGGGGCUAGCGUUGCUCGGAAUUACUGGGCGUAAAGGGAGCGUAGGCGGACAUUU